GGCUGUUGGCUGCUCCAAGGAGUGAGCGAUGCAUGCCAAACUCGUGCUUUCGUUCAACAUAAAAGAUACUCGGUUAUAAACCAACUAAACCUUUCUUCUCCUCGACGCUAGUGACUGAGGAUGGAAAUGAUGUACUUACCGAGUGUGAGACAACGUGAGAUCUGACGAACGAGCGACAGCAGUCAAAAGACACUCAACAAACUUCUUUUGGAUCCGUCGUCGCGGUAUCGUGGGAAUCAGUGACGUGACAAGCUCCUGCGACUCGUUUACCUGUCAUUCCUAUAUACAGACCAAAACGAUUAACCUUCAAUAAAAAAAAAAUCAUUAAUUAAUCUGAAUUAAAAUUAUCUGUUUCAUUAUAAUGAGAGUUUUAAUUCGCUGAUUCGUCAUUUGGUGGAUGUACAGGGUAUUUUUAACUCGAUUCGGGUAAUAAUACUGUACUUCGGUUAAAUAAUUGGAGCAAUUAGGAAAAAAUGUUGAAAUGAAGGAUUAUAUUGACAAUUAUCGAUUAUUUUUCUGUAUAAAUUUUAGAAAAUUAGAUUCCAAAUAAAUUUCACUCAUAAUUUAA